rnacentral:rRNA from 1 species
CCUACGGGAGGCAGCAGUGAGGAAUAUUGGUCAAUGGACGAGAGUCUGAACCAGCCAAGUAGCGUGAAGGAUGACUGCCCUAUGGGUUGUAAACUUCUUUUAUAUGGGAAUAAACUGUUCCACGUGGGGGAUUUUGUAUGUACCAUAUGAAUAAGGAUCGGCUAACUCCGUGCCAGCCGCCGCGGUAAUACGGAGGAUCAGAGCGUUAUACGGAUUUAUUGGGUUUAAAGGGAGCGUAGGUGGAUUGUUAAGUCAGUUGUGAAAGUUUGCGGCUCAACCGGAAAAUUGCAGUUGAAACUGGCAGUCUUGAGUACAGUAGAGGUGGGCGGAAUUCGUGGUGUAGCGGUGAAAUGCUUAGAUAUCACGAAGAACUCCGAUUGCGAAGGCAGCUCACUGGACUGCAACUGACACUGAGGCUCGAAAGUGUGGGUAUCAAACAGGAUUAGAUACCCCUGUAGUC